rnacentral:rRNA from 1 species
UACGGAGGGUGCAGGCGUUAAUCGGAAUUACUGGGCGUAAAGCGUGCGCAGGCGGUUUGUUAAGACAGAUGUGAAAUCCCCGGGCUUAACCUGGGAACUGCGUUUGUAACUGGCAAGCUAGAGUGUGGCAGAGGGGGGUGGAAUUCCAAGUGUAGCAGUGAAAUGCGUAGAUAUUUGGAGGAACACCAAUGGCGAAGGCAGCCCCCUGGGUUAACACUGACGCUCAUGCACGAAAGCGUGGGGAGCAAACAGG